CCAAUAGCGUAUAUUAAAGUUGUUGCAGUUAAAAAGCUCGUAGUUGAAUUUUUGAUUCUACCAAUUGGUCCAUCUUUUAGAUGAGUACUGGUUGUGUGGGGUCUAUCCGCCUGGUGAUACGUAAUGUCCUUUAUUGGAUGUUGCGGGUAGUCAGGACCUUUACCUUGAAAAAAUUAGAGUGUUUAAAGCAGGCUUAUGCCGGAAUACAUUAGCAUGGAAUAAUAGAAUAGGACGAAGUUGUUUUAUUUUGUUGGUUUCUAGGACAACCGUAAUGAUUAAUAGGGAUAGUUGGGGGACUUAGUAUUCAAUUGUCAGAGGUGAAAUUCUUGGAUUUAUUGAAGACUAACUACUGCGAAAGCAUUUGCCAAGGAUGUUUUCAUUAAUCAAGAACGAAAGUUAGGGGAUCGAAGACGAUCAGAUACCGUCGUAGUCUUAACCAUAAACUAUGCCGACUAGGGAUCGGGCGAUGUUGUUUCCAUGACUCGCUCGGCACCUUAUG
rnacentral:rRNA from 1 species